CUGAGCCUGAGAUACGAUAGAUUUUCCAUGGAAAAGCCAGAUAAACACACAUGAGAAAAGCUGAUCUAAUGAGGAAGACUGUGGCCCAGCAUUUCUGUGUUCCAGGAUAAGGGGCAUUACCAGGUCACAAGAAAGAAGAAGGAGAAGAUGACAGCUCACCGUGGUUGCUUCUGAGUCUGGGUUUUCCUUGAUCUUCUAAAAGAGGAAAGCCAAGCAAAAGGUGAUCUGAAUCCCAGAAAGGAAGCUGAAGUGUUCUUUUGUGCUUGAGGAUUUGUGCGGGA